UCCGGUGGAAGUCUCUACGAUUUUCUGCAUAAAACGAAAGGUUUUUUCAGGCUUCCGGUGUUACUCAAGGUUGCUAUUGAUGUUUCAAAGGGGAUGAGCUAUCUGCACCAAAAUAAUAUAAUACAUAGAGACUUAAAGACUGCUAAUCUCUUAAUGAAUGAAAAUCACGUUGUGAAGGUUGCUGACUUUGGUGUUGCUCGUGUGCAAGUUCAGUCUGGUGUCAUGACAGCAGAAACAGGAACAUAUCGAUGGAUGGCUCCUGAGGUUAUUGGACACAGACCUUAUGAUUGAAAAGCUGAUGUUUUCAGCUUCGGGAUUGUACUGUGGGAACUGUUAACAGGAAAGCUUCCUUACGAGUUCUUGACCCCAUUACAAGCUGCAGUGGCUGUGGUUCAGAAGGGUCUAAGGCCAACAAUUCCCGCGAACACUCAUCCAAUGUUGGUGGACUUGCUCGAGAAAUGCUGGCAGCAAGAACCGCUCUUAAGACCUGAAUUCUCCGAGAUACUUGUCAUCUUACAAGACAUGACCAAAAAGAUGGUUGAAGAAGAGAAAAGUAGCAAAAGAAGAAGCCUUGGAUAACAAUUAAGGAAGCAGAAUGCAUAAUACACAUUUUACCUUUUUAAGUUAAGUUAUAUAUACUGACAGUGUAAUUUUCGUUAACUAUUAGUGUUGUAUAACUAUGAUCUGUGGUAGUAGAUUAGCUACAACUUUUCUUAGGUUAUGAUUUAAUGUUUUUA